rnacentral:sRNA from 1 species
GCCUCGCACCUGGAACUCAAUGCACCUGAAGAGAUACUAUUACUAAAA